rnacentral:rRNA from 1 species
UACCUGCAGCUCGAGUGGUAACCGCUAUUAUUGGGCCUAAAGCGUCCGUAGCCGGUUUGGUAAAUAUCUGGGUAAAUCGUGAGGCUUAACUUCACGAAUUUCGGAUAGACUGCCAGACUUGGGAUCGGGGGAGGUCAGAGGUACUCCAGGGGUAGCGGUAAAAUGUUGUAAUCCUUGGAGGACCACCGGUAGCGAAGGCGUCUGACUAGAACGAGUCCGACGGUGAGGGACGAAGCCCUGGGGCGCAAACCGGAUUAGAUACCCCGGGUAGUCCAGGGUGUAAACGAUGUGGGCUUUGUAUUGGAGGUCCCACGUGGGCGUCCAGUGCAGAAGAGAAGUUGUUAAGCCCACCGCCUGGGAAGUACGGUCGCAAAGCUGAAACUUAAAGGAAUUGGCGGGGAGCACAGCAACGGGAGGAGCGUGCGGUUU